GCCUAAUGUCUGUCCAAGUCUUAUUUUUUCUUCCUGCAAAAACUAUUUGCUGCUUGUAAAGUACAUUUUAGCUACUCUCAAAACAGCUUUAAAAAAAAAAAAAAAUUCACAUUUAUCAUUUUACAGAUCAUUUAAGCAAAUAUGGUAGGAAGGAAAGUAUCAAGGUUACCGACUGGAUUCCUGGAGCAGAUGAGUAGACCUUCAUGGCCAGACAACAGAGCAAGCUGACGAAGUCCAUGUAGCCAACUCUGCAGUCAAAACCAAAGUGCUGGGACUCAGAAGGUCUCGCUUGUUAAUUUGACUGUGUGUAAACAAAGAAAUGCUGUUGGCCCUAUUAAUCUCAGCGCAGGCCUGAGGGAUAAUGGCAGAUGACUCAUGGACCAGACACCAGUGACAACGCAUUACUCCGUGUCUGUUGGCCAAGUGCUACUGACUGAAAUCACUGGCUCUACCUCAAUUCACUGCAGCAAAGUGUCUGGUCUUGCUUGGAUUUGCUUGAGAAAUGACCUUUAUUUUUCUUAUCCACAUUCUCACCUUAUGCAGUCUCCAUGUGUGUGCCAAAGUCACCUCCCCUGCAAGGGUGGACAGAUUUAGAGAUGCUCAAAAUGGCACAGUGAGGGUGUGUGGUUUGCUCUCCUGCUUUUGCUUAACUGGCCAGCAAGUGAACUCGGAGUAAGCAGGUCAGCUCAGGAACAAAGAAGAAGGACCUGAAGAGAUCAAAAUAACAGUAAAUGUCACAAAAAUUAUUUUUCUUAACAUGUAAAAACAGCAAAUGCCCCAUUUUGUAACCUGGAAGAAGUGGACUUCAGGCUGUGUUCCUCCAGACACAAACAGGCAUCCUUU